AUUGAACGCUGGCGGCAGGCUUAACACAUGCAAGUCGAGCGAGCGGCGGACGGGUGAGUAAUGUCUGGGAAACUGCCUGAUGGAGGGGGAUAACUACUGGAAACGGUAGCUAAUACCGCAUACCAUCAGAUGUGCCCAGAUGGGAUUAGCUAGUAGGUGGGGUAAUGGCUCACCUAGGCGACGAUCCCUAGCUGGUCUGAGAGGAUGACCAGCCAACCUGGAACUGAGACAGGGUCCAGCCCCCAAGGGGAGGCAGCGGUGGGUAAUAUGGCACAAUGGGCGCAAGCCUGGUGCAGCCAUGCCGGGUGUGUGAAGAGGGCCUUGGGGUUGUAAAGCACUUUAAGCGAGGAGGCGUUACUCGCAGAGGAAGCCCCGGCUAACUCCGUGCAAGCAGCGGCGGUAAUU
rnacentral:rRNA from 1 species